CCCUUAGAUGUCCUGGGCUGCACGCGCGCUACACUGAUGUGUCCAGUAAGCACCUAACCUCUUCCGAAGGGAACGGGUAACCUUAGCAAAGCACAUCGUGAUGGGGAUAGAUUAUUGCAAUUAUUAGUCUUGAACGAGGAAUUCCUAGUAAGCACAAGUCAUCAGCUUGUGUUGAUUACGUCCCUGCCCUUUGUACACACCGCCCGUCGCUCCUACCGAUUGAAUGCUCAGGUGAGCCAUUCGGACUUUCAUCAUGCUGGUUUCCAGUUUUGAUGAAGGAAAGUCUUGCGAACCUUAUCAUUUAGAGGAAGGAGAAGUCGUAACA
rnacentral:rRNA from 1 species